UCAAAUGCGUUAACUUUUUCCCCCUUCCACCAUGUUACCGAUUGAAAAUCCCUAACAACCUCCCCUUCCACUGUGUUUUCAAUCUAAAAUCCCAAGAAUCUCCUCUUCCACCACGUUAAUUCACUGCAUUUUUUCAAUUCAAAGGCACACGAGAUCAUGUCGGUGCCGGUGAAAGCGCCAGAUUCGGCGGAAACAAAGCUAUCUACAACUCUGAUUGCUAAUGGAAGCAAGCGACGAUGGCUAGGGUUUGCUCCGAUGUUUGAAUUUUGUAAUGCAACGAUCUCACUAUUUUACGGUUAGUACCAUUUCACCCAUUGACACUGAAAGUUUUGUCAAUGAACCGCAAUGUUAAAACAAAUUUCCGUGGAUUGUAGAAUCAUCUAAGUCCAUGGGUCUCUAACAUAAUCAUUUUUUGUUUCAUCAUUUAUUCUGUCACCUUAUGAUAUUGAAAGUUUUUUUGUUGCUCGAGAUCUAAGGUUCUUACUGUGGAAGAUGAUGGUACUAGAGUGCAGUUGCAGCAAAAACGGAUGGUGCUGAAGAUAUUAUGCCGUUGAACAAUAGUUGUCUUUGUUGUACCGUGAGGGAUGACAUUGUUAGAAUGAUUUCUGAAUUAGUCACUUCAAAGAAAGGGAAAUUUGAUCAUAUUGUUAUAGAUACUACUGGUUUGGCAAAUCCGCCACCGAUAAUCCAGAGCUUUUAUGCUGAGGAGAAUAUUUUCAAUGAAGUCAAGUUGGAUGGUGUUGUCACUUUGGUUGAUGCAAAACAUGAUAGUCAUUAUCUUGACGAGGUUAAGUCAGAAGGGGUGGUCAAUGAGGCAGUGGAACAGAUUGCAUAUGCUGAUUGAAUAAUUGUUAAUAAGGGAAAACUCACCGAUGGAACUGUAUUCGAUUCUAGCUUUGAAAGAAACAGUCCAAUUGAUUUUGAGCUUGGUGGUGGUCAAGUGAUCAAAGGCAAACACACAGCCACAAAUAACUCUAGUUUAUUUAUUUUAUUAUUUUUAAUUUUUAAAUUUCUGGUUUCAUCAUCAAUAACGGUGAUAAUGAAGUAGCUGCUGAGCUGGUUUUUUAAUUGACGCACAUAUUAUUAUCAUUAGAUCUAAUCUAACUGAAAUAGUCCAAAAAUUACUUUGAUGAUUAAAGCUAAUAAAAAUUCCAUACAAAAUACGUGAAAUGACAGACUAAUCUAAUGGGAGGUGAUACUUGAUGAUUUGAACUAUUCAUAUAGAAAAACACACCCGUAUAGGAAGACACAAUGAUUCUCAGUAAUUAUAUAGAAGAGAUUAUUGUGUCGGUGAUCUCUCAUCAUUUGAUGAAAAACAAAGAUCUUGAGUACAAGAACAAAAAGCUCGUUAUUUCUUGCAAUAGGUGAGACUUGCAAUGUUAAUUUCACGAGCAUGAACUAUGUAUGUUUAAUGUACUAACUAAUCUUGUGAAACAGUUUGUCACAUGCAUUAGAUAUAUUCCGAUCGGCGAAAUUCAAUGGAAGCGAUACAUCAAAAUUGGAAGAUCAACCACUAAAAUCUGAGGUUUCCACUACUAAUUGUGUCUGUUCAUUCACUAAAAUUAAGAUCAACCACAAAAACUACUGACUACCUUGUACAAAUAUGCUUAUAUUGUUAUCAUUCUCUUUCUCAAUCAUGAAAAUGAAAAUUCCGAGUGUGGUAGAAACAGUUCCAGAACCAGCAGUGAUGGCUGAAAAGAAGGAUGAAAGUGUUGUUCCUGAAAAGAAGGCUGAAGAUGUUGCUCCUAAGAAGAAGGCUGAAAAUGUUGCUCUUGAGAAGAAGGCUGCACGAGCACUAGCAAAAAUGCCAGGAGUAUAUAGAUUAGAUCUUUUCACGCGCCAAAUGUCAUCUACUGCACGAGCAGGUCAGGAAGAUGAGAAUAAUGACAGCACUGGCGAAAGCAACGGUGCAUAUAUCAUAAGAAUUCCGUUCGGUCUGCGCGAUAAGUAUCUCGAGAAAGAACUUCUUUAGCUACAUAUUCAAGAAUUGGUAGAUGGAGACUUGGCUCAUAUUCUCAACAUGUCAAAAGUAUUGGGUGAACAAGUUGAUGGUGGACAACCUGUUGUUCUUCUUUCGGGUGCUUUGAAUGUUCCAAUGGUGCUAAAUGGUCAUUUACUGGGAAGAAACAAACUUGAACAACUUCUUAAUCAAGGGCGACAAUUGUUGGAGGAUAUCAAUUCGACGUAUAACAUAAUGUGGAGGAUUGAAGCUGAAGAGUUUUUUUUAUAGAAAUUUUACUGUUGAAAUAUUUUGAAUAAUUAAAACAUUCUCCAAUGGUGCUAAAUAUUUUGAAAUAUUUUGUAAAAUUUCUAUAAAAAAAGCUUGAGAAUGCUUUGAAUGUU